AUUGAACGCUGGCGGCAGGCCUAACACAUGCAAGUCGAACGGUAACAGGAAACAGCUUGCUGUUUCGCUGACGAGUGGCGGACGGGUGAGUAAUGUCUGGGAAACUGCCUGAUGGAGGGGGAUAACUACUGGAAACGGUAGCUAAUACCGCAUAACGUCGCAAGACCAAAGAGGGGGACCCUCGGGCCUCUUGCCAUCGGAUGUGCCCAGAUGGGAUUAGCUUGUUGGUGGGGUAACGGCUCACCAAGGCGACGAUCCCUAGCUGGUCUGAGAGGAUGACCAGCCACACUGGAACUGAGACACGGUCCAGACUCCUACGGGAGGCAGCAGUGGGGAAUAUUGCACAAUGGGCGAAAGCCUGAUGCAGCCAUGCCGCGUGUAUGAAGAAGGCCUUCGGGUUGUAAAGUACUUUCAGCGGGGAGGAAGGGAGUAAAGUUAAUACCCUUGCUCAUUGACGUUACCCGCAGAAGAAGCACCGGCUAACUCCGUG
rnacentral:rRNA from 1 species